AUAGCAACCAAAUAAGGAUGUGGUAGCAGGGAAGGUCCAAGCUGAUAAGGAAGCAGGUCAGAAGCAGCAGGAUCGCAAAGAAAUUUUAAUGAUGACAGGACAGCAGCUGCAUUUCUGAGUAAAAGGGAUCCGUUGACGCCAGCUGAAGCAAGUGGUCCAAUCAACUGUGGAAGAGCAACGAAUGCAAGGAGAAUGGAUUCUCAUGGGAACGUAGCUGACUGGAAGGCAAUGGAACAUCAUCUAGAAGACCAAGGAGGACACAUCUUUGUGCUUGGGCUGUGCUUUGGAUCUUCCACAAGAAACUCACCCUAGCAGAUCUUACCAAUGCUUUAAACUCUAAAGCAUCAGGGCAGGGAAUGAAUUAAACAAUUAAAAUUCAAGCCAUC
ensembl:lncRNA